rnacentral:rRNA from 1 species
UACGGAGGGAGCUAGCGUUGUUCGGAAUUACUGGGCGUAAAGCGCACGUAGGCGGCUACUCAAGUCGGGGGUGAAAGCCCGGGGCUCAACCCCGGAACUGCCCUCGAAACUAGGUGGCUAGAAUCUUGGAGAGGUCAGUGGAAUUCCGAGUGUAGAGGUGAAAUUCGUAGAUAUUCGGAAGAACACCAGUGGCGAAGGCGACUGACUGGACAAGUAUUGACGCUGAGGUGCGAAAAGCGUGGGGGAGCAAACAGG